CCCUUAGAUGUCCGGGGCUGCACGCGCGCUACACUGAAGGAAUCAGCGUGCUAGAAAACCUUGUUUGACAUGGCUAGGUAACCCGUUGAAAAUCUUUCGUGAUUGGGAUCGGGACUUGCAAAUGUGUCCCUUGAACGAGGAAUUCCCAGUAAGUGCGGGUCAUAAGCCCGCGCUGAUUACGUCCCUGCCCUUUGUACACACCGCCCGUCGCUGCCCGGAACUGAGCCGUUUCGAGAAGACUGGGGACUGCGAACUUUGGGCUGGAAAACAGCUUUUUGUUUGUGGAAACCACUUUAAUCGCAGCGGCUUGAACCGGGCAAAAGUCGUAACA
rnacentral:rRNA from 1 species